UACGGGGGGUGCGAGCGUUGUCCGGAAUCACUGGGCGUAAAGGGCGCGUAGGUGGCCUGAUAAGGGUGUGGUGAAAGCCCGGGGCUCAACCCCGGGUCUGCCAUGCCGACUGUCACGCUAGAGUACUGUAGGGGCAGGCGGAAUUCCGGGUGUAGCGGUGGAAUGCGUAGAGAUCCGGAGGAAGACCGGUGGCGAAGGCGGCCUGCUGGGCAGUUACUGACGCUGAGGAGCGAAAGCGUGGGGAGCGAACAGG
rnacentral:rRNA from 1 species